AACAUUUAGAUAUUUGUCCUGGGUUGGUCUGAUGCUGUUGGCAGUCUGGUUCGCCGAGGAUCAGGCCAAGUAUAUGACGAAGAUUCAAAUAAUCAGGAGACUGAAAUCUUCAGAAAGAACUCUCUACAAUCUACAUAAAUGGCAAGGAGACUGAUUAAAGCAGGCCCAGAUGUAUCUGAAUGUCAGCAUGAAGCAACCGGAGUCUUGGCUGCCGCACACGGAACAUAAUUAGCUCAAAGCCCUCUGCGCGGAGUCGGUAGUGGAAGCAGAGACGAAUAAUAAAACAACAACCGCCAAAAAGGAAAGUGACAAAGGUUAACAUCCAUUGUUCGAAUUGUUAAACGUGUUUGGGGAGGAGAAAAAGGAGGAAGAGUGUCCGGUGUAAGGCGAAAGUGAUUUAUGAAGUCGAAAACAAGACAGCUUCAUUUUCACAAGGAAGGCUGCCUGGACAUGAAGGACGGCGGGGAAAAUUUGGCAAGAAUGUGGUGAGGGUGAUUAUGAAAGCAAUAACCUUCUGAACGUCGGUAUGGCGCAUGAAAAGGAACUUUAAGAAAACCGCUCCAUGCCUCUGCUCUCUCUUUGGGAAGGAAGCCAAGGAACCAAGGUCGAGAAGAUGCUUUAUGCUUUAUGCUUGUCUUCUCAGUCCCCGGCAAAGUCUCCGAAGGCCAGAAGGCCUCUUCAAACACAAGUCUGACUUCCUGCUGAGCCCAAGUUCAAUCGAGUUGAACUUCUUCCGAAAUCCCGGAUGAAGGAUCUCACAAUUAUCUAAAUAUUAUUCCUCAGCUUCACCACGGACUUCCUAUUGUCUUCAUUUAUGGCCAUUUCAAGCCUGAAAACCACUUAAAACUAUGACCCUGAUGUGACCUUCAGCUUAAAGCCAAUCUGUGCUUUUGCAUAAAAUGAGUCUGAGGUUUCAGCGUUCCAACUUUGCAGAUCGUUCGAUUCUAACUGGGGAUUUUGGAUUUGUCAUUUGAAGGCGCCCUUAGAUAAACGCUCACGCACUCCCUGCACGAGGUAAUUGAGUUUGCGGUGGAAACACACACGUUGCACUUUGUGACGGGCUUGUCCGUUAAACGCAAGGAGCUUUUUGUGAUGAAUUUUAAGAACUGUGGUUUUAUGGAGAACCGUUUUAUGAUGAACUUAAAGAACUCCGACAAAUUUUUUGAAAGACGAUCUGCAGAAGGUUUUAGGGGGCUAUCCACUAAAGUCCACUUAGAAUAAUCUCUACUCUAAAGAUUAUAUCUUGCCAACUCCUAACUCCUAAGAGGAAAAGUCUGAGUGUCUUUUCUUUUCUAUGUAAGAAAAUGAGAGGUGAACAAGGCUGCAGUUUAGCGCCAUUCUUAGCAAAAACGUAGAUUUUUUUUUUCAGAGGUAGCAGAAGAAAAUCCUGAGGUGGCUCUUUAUAAAUCAAGUCGAACUGGAAACCAAAUGGUUAAAUUAAUAACGAAGAUUAUUCAAUUCCAUUCAAUCAUCUAUUGAAUUUGGUGGGCCCGGAUUGUGAGAAUCUUGUUUGAAUCUUCUUCCCUUUCUUAGUGAAAUGUUUGGAUAAUAACUUCCCAAUAUCUCAAAGCUCUUUAUAAAUGAUGGAUAAAUAGUAAAAGGAAAAAGGAAAAAGAUGGGGGAAAAGAAAACUGACAGCUACAUCUUUUUUUUAGAAAGAGUCCUUUCCCACAAUAGUAAUAGAGCAUUUUUUCCCCAAGAUAUAUGUAAUAUUGGGUUGCGUUGGUUUCAAGCUGUGGCUAGUAAUACCGCUCUUGUUUUU